CCUGUAUUUAAUGUCAUCUAGGUUUUUUUUGUUGUUGUUAUUGUUUUAGAUUAUGUACUUUUGUUUAAGAUUUUUGGGGAUCGCUACACAACCUCUAAUUAUACUGAAUUCCCUUCUUUCUAUGUAUGUUCACUCUCAUGUGCCCUUUCAGGUCCUUUACUGAAGAAAACUUUUCUGAAGAUGAAACUGAAGUCCAGUUCAAGUCUGUCUGAACCUGCAGUGAGAGUCCAGCUCCUGUCACAGCUUCAGUCUGCUUUGGUGGAACGAGGGUUUUCUGACGUGACACUGCAAUGGUCUCAACCGCCCAAACAGGAAGUGAUGCGGAAGGAAGCUGCACCAGCUCAAUGUGCUGUAAGAAAGAGAUGAUGAUGAUGGGGAAACCUAAACUCUCUUCGGAUCAGCUUUGAUGUUCUUCAUUUACAAGCUUGAAUAUUCUCCAGUCCUCAAUGUUCAUCACAAUAAAGGUGUCCAUGAAAACUGAAACAAACUGAUUUCUGCAAAGCUGUGUUGAGCAACAACAACAUUUGCUUUGAAGACAGUUUUAUUAUUAAUGAUAAAAUAUUACAUGGUUCACAGCAUUGGCAUAGAAUAUACGGUCUAGAAUAUAGAAUAUGCAUAAUCUAUGCUGGAUCUGGCACAGGGGUGCCUGCAGAAUUUCAUCUGAGGGUAUGCACAGACUUUUUUUUUUUUAUUAUUUAUUUU